CCAGCAGUGGUUCAGUGGUAGAAUUCUUGCCUUCCAAGCGGGAGACCCAGUUUCAAUUACCAGCCGAUGAA
rnacentral:tRNA from 1 species